UGGGGAAUUUUGGACAAUGGGCGAAAGCCUGAUCCAGCAAUGCCGCGUGUGUGAAGAAGGCCUUCGGGUUGUAAAGCACUUUUGUCCGGAAAGAAAUCCUUGGCUCUAAUACAGUCGGGGGAUGACGGUACCGGAAGAAUAAGCACCGGCUAACUACGUGCCAGCAGCCGCGGUAAUACGUAGGGUGCAAGCGUUAAUCGGAAUUACUGGGCGUAAAGCGUGCGCAGGCGGUUUGCUAAGACCGAUGUGAAAUCCCCGGGCUCAACCUGGGAACUGCAUUGGUGACUGGCAGGCUAGAGUAUGGCAGAGGGGGGUAGAAUUCCACGUGAUAGCAGUGAAAUGCGUAGAGAUGUGGAGGAAUACCGAUGGCGAAGGCAGCCCCCUGGGCCAAUACUGACGCUCAUGCACGAAAGCGUGGGGAGCAAACAGGAUUAGAUACCCUGGUAGUCCACGCCCUAAACGAUGUCAACUAGUUGUUGGGGAUUCAUUUCCUUAGUAACGUAGCUAACGCGUGAAGUUGACCGCCUGGGGAGUACGGUCGCAAGAUUAAAACUUAAAUGAAUUGACGGGGUC
rnacentral:rRNA from 1 species